GAUGAAGAACGCAGCGAAAUGCGAUAAGUAGUGUGAAUUGCAGAAUUCAGUGAAUCAUCGAGUCUUUGAACGCACAUUGCGCCCCCUGGUAUUCCGGGGGGCAUGCCUGUCCGAGCGUCAUUGCUGCCCUCAAGCACGGCUUGUGUGUUGGGCCUCCGUCCUCCUCCCGGGGGACGGGCCCGAAAGGCAGCGGCGGCAUCGCGUCCGGUCCUCGAGCGUAUGGGGCUUCGUCACCCGCUCUUGUAGGCCCGGCCGGCGCUUGCCGACACAUCAAUCUUUUUUCCAGGUUGACCUCGGAUCAGGUAGGGAUACCCGCUGAACUUAAGCAUAUCAAUAAGCGGAGGA
rnacentral:misc_RNA from 1 species